rnacentral:lncRNA from 1 species
GUGUCUAUAGCGGUCAGAGCCAGGUUUUCAGGUCAGAUGGGGUCUGCUUUGCCAUUGAAUAAUAAUGAAUUAAAUUUUUGCUUCAGGGCUUUUGCAAGAUUGAAGUAGAGUUUUCACAAUUCUAAGAUUCACUAGAUUCUGCAUGCCUUCAGCUAUACAUGAAAUUUAAAGACACUUAUGGGAGGACAGAUACAUUGAAAACAAACAACAAGGCUGACAAAACAUCACAGGAGACACUACUGCACAACCAGUGAUGAGGACUGAAUUCUCCAUUGUCUGCCCCCUACAUUUUGGCUGAUGGCAACUCUAGUUCUGAGGUGUAGUGGGCUCGUAGGAUAAUAGGUAGUCCUAUCUGGCUGGAGUAAGGAGGAGAAGCUUGGAGAGGUAAGGGACAAGCCCAGGAAGGCUGUAAAGGCCGAGCUAAUGAGUGUGAUCUUCAAAGGUUAGUCCAGGGAGCUAUGGAUGGUCUCAGGAUUUUGCCCUCCAUCCACUCUUGGUUCCAGUUGCAAACACCUGCUGAUCAUCAUAAUGAACCAUCUCCUUUGCCAGUCCUUCUUCUGCAUUGCUUUCUCUCUCUCAUUCAAUCUACAUCUCUCUGCUCUCUCAAACCUAACUCAAUUUUAGUCCUGUUCAGGAAUAUGACUGGCCUGCCUUGACUUGGUUACCCCAAAGACUCCUUAGUAAUUUUGCACCCUGUCCCCCAUAGACUUAACCUAAAUUUCUAUAGUAGGGACAUUACUGAAGGUGGUUCGUGGAGGCAAUGUUUGGUACACUGACCCUCUGCUUUUCCAUACACUUUCAAUAUGAAAUUGUCCAUGUCUUUCUCUGGAACACUUUUUAGCAUACAAAUCCAAUAAAAUCACAUUUACCAAAUCAGUCACCUUUUGGAAAUCAUAUCUAAAAGUUAUUUGAGUCAAGUUUUUCCUGAUGAAAUAAUAAUGCAAAAAUAAGUCUUAAUAUAAAUGCAAAAGAACUAAGGUUAUUUUUUAAAUUAUAGUAACUUAAAGGUUUAAGGGAAAAAUUAUAGCAGUAGCUUAUCUGAACAGCAUUUGUUGAUAUAAAAAAAAUACCAAAUGGUUUAAGAAACCUGUAGGUGAAAUGCAUGUUUCUCUGGAUACACAGAUCUUUUCCCUCCCCCACCAUGCUAGAAUUUUGUAGGCACAACUGGUUUUUAUAAAAUGAACAAGGUGGUGCGGGCUGAGGGAAGGGGCAGCAUUAAAGUAAAAGCAAACACAAGAAUUCGAAACCUUCAGUAAAUGAACAAUUUGUAACCCCCUGUGUUGCCAUAUUUUCUUCUCUGCUUCGUCCUCAUAUUUUCACACAGCUAAUAAGGGGAAGAGCUGGGACUCCAGCAGUUCUAGCUCCAUAUUCAUAUCUCUUUGCAAUUUACUACAACUGCUGUCAACAGUGUUCGUUAAUCUUUGAACAUUUUCUUCUUUAUGACUACUAGACCUCACUACUAUCACAGUUAUCUCUAAACACAGAUGUCAAAAACAGAACCAUUCUUUCUCUUUGCCUUCAAACUUGCUUCUCUUUUAUGGCCUGGUUACUAGCAUUGUCUUCAACUCAGACACUCAACAUAUCUACUUUGGGUCAUAUUUGAUUCUUCUUUCUUCCCCACUAUGAUAAAUUCAUUCUUAUGGAUUCUGCUGUCAUGAUGCCUCUCAGUUUCUCCUCUUCUUUUCUUUCCUGCUUCAGUCAUGUUGGUUCAGGUUUUCGUUUCUUCUUACUUACACAACUGCAACAGUUCCUAGCUGCUCUCUCAGCUUCCAGUAUUUCACUUCCUUCCAAUCUAUUCUUUAAAACAGAGAAACUGUAUUUCUGUUCCUCUUAUACCUGGAGUAUCCUUUCCCUGUCUGUACCAUGUAAAAAUUUAUUCAUCCUAUGAAGACAGCCCAACAUAUCCUUUCUUCUUUCUCCAUUGUGGUACAGUUAUUGCAUCAAUGACCCCAAUUAAAUGGACUCUUUGUGUCUAUGUCCUAUUGUAUAAAUCCAUUUUCAUGCUGCUAUUAAGAAAUAUCUGAGACUGGGUAAUUUAUAAAGAAAAGAGGCUUAACUGACUCACAGUUCUGCAUGGCUGGGGAGGUCCCAGAAAACUUACAAUCAUGGCAGAAGGCACUUCUUCACAGGGUGGCAGGAGAGAGAAUGAUUGUAAGCAGGGGAAAUGCCAGAUGCCUAUAAAACCAUGAGAUCUCAUGAGACUCACUCACUAUUAUGAGAACAGCAUGGGAGAAACUGCCCUUGUGAUCCAGUUACCUCCACCUGGUCCCACCCUCAAUACAUGGGGGUUAUGGGGAUUAUGAUUCAAGAUGAGAUUUUGGGUGGGGACACAGCACAACCAUAUCAUUCUGCCCCUGGCUUCUCCCAGAUCUCAUAUCCUCAUAUAUCAAAACACAAUCAUGCCUUUCCAAUAGUCCUCCAAAGCCUUAACUCAUUUCAGUAUUAACCAAAAAGUCCAAGUCCAAAGUCUCAUCGGAGACAAGGCAAGUUUCUUCUGCCUAUGAGCCUGUAAAAUCAAAAGCAAGUUAGUUACUUCCUAGACACAUGAGGGUACAGGCAUUGAGUAAAUACACCCAUUCCAAAUUGGAGAAAUUGGCCAAAACAAAGGGGCUACAGGACCCAUGCAAGUCCAAAAUUCAAUAAGGCAGCCAUUAAACCUUAAAGUUCCAAAAUGAUGUCCUUUGAGUCCAUGUCUCACAUCCAGGUCACGCUGAUGCAAGAUGUGGUCUCCCAUGGCCUUUGGCACCUAUGUACUGUUACUUGAUGGCACCUUCAGAAAUUGACAUCAAGCUUAGUCUUUGAUUUGCUUUGACUAAUGGGAUAGUAACAAAAUUGAAGCAAGCAGAGGCCUGAAAAAAAAAAAAAAAAAGCACAUGUCAAUUUCUGUUUCCAUCCCCCCCUCCCUUCUUGAUCCUCUGAAUUUUCUCUGAGGACACAUCUGGGGGAAUUCUGCUGGAAAAUGAGACACAGAACAGCUCAGUCCAGGUGACGUAUGUAGCCAAAGCCAUUCUGGGCUGGCCAUUCACCACCUGACUGCAUAUAUAAUUGAGCCAAGCUGUAAUUAGCAGAAUCAUUCAGCUGACCCUUAGACCCGUGAGAAAUAGUAAGUGGUUGAUGCUUUGAGUCCAAGUUUGGGGGUGCUAUCUUAUGCAGCAAUGGCUGAUACAUCCACUAUGCUUCUUUCUGAAUUAUUCCCAAGGCAUUUCACAUAUACUAUUAUUGUAACAUUUAUCGUGUUCUAUUCUCCUGUAAUACUAAAUUUCUUUAAGUCGGGUGCUAAAUUUUUAUAUCCCCAGUAUUUAGCACAUUCCCUAGAGCACAUAGGCAUAGAGUAAGUACUUAAAACAUGUUUACUUAACAAGUUAAAUGUACACCAACUCAUCCCUCUCCAAUCUAUUACAAAGCAAUUGAGUAAAAAAAAAAAAUUUUUUUUCCCCAUUUUAUUCUAUUUUUUUUUUUCCGUUUUAUUCCUUCGGGUUCAGCAAGACUGUUUUGUCAAGACUAUGUGUUUAACUGUGAAAUAAACAUCUACAAAUGUUCAAAAAUUAGUGUUUGUUUAUAAAUGUUUCUUUCUUUCAAACCUUAUAUUUGAAGAUUAAGUACUUUUGUAAGCUGAAGCUCCAGUUCAUGGUUUACAACAGUCCAAGGGAAGGACGUGUAUUGGAUCUUGGAUUUGGAGACAAUGUCUUUGUUCCAGGAUAGAGACAGUAUAGGGAUUUAGAGAAAGGAAGGAGGGAGCUGAGAGAUCGUUGAGCAAUUAUUGCAAAGUCUGCCUUCCCCUUCACUGUAGACAAUGGUAAAAUCUAUAUGGCAAUUUAAUGGAAUCAUCUUUUUCCUCUUGGAAAACCCAAAUCAAGUUUCACAGAGAAAACUAUACAGGCAACACCGGCUGUUGUUUCCAUGCAGAGAAGUGAAAAUGACUAGAUAGUUUUGAUUAUUUUUGCAGAAAUAUGUGCAUAUAUUUGACAGUCUCUAAAUCUUCCCUAAAACACUCUUUAUGU